rnacentral:rRNA from 1 species
GAUGAACGCUGGCGGCGUGCCUAAUACAUGCAAGUCGAGCGAACGGACGAGAAGCUUGCUUUUCUGAUGUUAGCGGCGGACGGGUGAGUAACACGUGGAUAACCUACCUAUAAGACUGGGAUGACUUCGGGAAACCGGAGCUAAUACCGGAUAAUAUUUUGAACCGCAUGGUUCAAAAGUGAAAGACGGUCUUGCUGUCACUUAUAGAUGGAUCCGCGCUGCAUUAGCUUGUUGGUAAGGUAACGGCUUACCAAGGCUACGAUGGGUAGCCGGCCUGAGAGGGUGACCGGCCACAUGGGGACUGCGAUACGGCCCAGACUCUUACGGGAGGCAGCAGUGGGGAAUAUUGCACAAUGGGCGGAAGCCUGAUGCAGCAACGCCGCGUGCGGGAUGACGGCCUUCGGGUUGUAAACCGCUUUCGCCUGUGACGAAGCGUGAGUGACGGUAAUGGGUAAAGAAGCACCGGCUAACUACGUG